UACGGGGGGGGUAAGCGUUGUUCGGAAUUAUUGGGCGUAAAGGGCGCGUAGGCGGCGCCACAAGUCACUUGUGAAAACUCUGGGCUUAACUCAGAGCCUGCAAGCGAAACUGUGGUGCUGGAGUAUGGGAGAGGUGCGUGGAAUUCCAGGUGUAGCGGUGAAAUGCGUAGAUAUCUGGAGGAACACCGGUGGCGAAGGCGGCAUCCUGGACCAAUUCUGACGCUGAGGAGCGAAAGCCAGGGGAGCAGACGGG
rnacentral:rRNA from 1 species